AUUGAACGCUGGCGGCAUGCUUUACACAUGCAAGUCGAGCGGUAACAGGCCUUCGGGUGCUGACGAGUGGCGAACGGGUGAGUAAUGCAUCGGAACGUACCCAGAGGUGGGGGAUAACGCAGCGAAAGCUGUGCUAAUACCGCAUGUGAUCUGAGGAUGAAAGCGGGGGACCGAGCAGCAAUGUUUGGCCUCGCGCCUUUGGAGCGGCCGAUGUCGGAUUAGCUAGUUGGUGGGGUAAAGGCCUACCAAGGCGACGAUCCGUAGCUGGUCUGAGAGGACGACCAGCCACACUGGGACUAAGACACGGCCCAGACUCCUACGGGAGGCAGCAGUGGGGAAUUUUGGACAAUGGGCGCAAGCCUGAUCCAGCAAUGCCGCGUGCGGGAAGAAGGCCUUCGGGUUGUAAACCGCUUUUGGCAGGAACGAAACGGUGUCCGCUAAUACCGGGCGCUAAUGACGGUACCUGCAGAAUAAGCACCGGCUAACUACGUG
rnacentral:rRNA from 1 species